rnacentral:rRNA from 1 species
GUAGGUGGCAAGCGUUGUCCGGAAUUAUUGGGCGUAAAGCGCGCGCAGGCGGGUCCUUUAAGUCUGAUGCGAAAGCCCACGGGCUCAACCGUGGAGGGUCAUUGGAAACUGGGGGACUUGAGUACAGAAGAGGAAAGCGGAAUUCCAAGUGUAGCGGUGAAAUGCGUAGAGAUUUGGAGGAACACCAGUGGCGAAGGCGGCUUUCUGGUCUGUGACUGACGCUGAGGCGCGAAAGCGUGGGGAGCAAACAGGAUUAGAUACCCUGGUAGUCCACGCCGUAAACGAUGAGUGCUAAGUGUUAGGGGGUUUCCGCCCCUUAGUGCUGCAGCUAACGCAUUAAGCACUCCGCCUGGGGAGUACGGCCGCAAGGCUG